CCUACGGGAGGCAGCAGUGGGGAAUAUUGGACAAUGGGCGAAAGCCUGAUCCAGCCAUGCCGCGUGUGUGAAGAAGGCCUUCGGGUUGUAAAGCACUUUCAGUGGGGAAGAAAGCCUUGGGGCUAAUACCCUCGAGGAAGGACAUCACCCACAGAAGAAGCACCGGCUAACUCCGUGCCAGCAGCCGCGGUAAUACGGAGGGUGCGAGCGUUAAUCGGAAUUACUGGGCGUAAAGCGCGCGUAGGCGGUCUGAUAAGCCGGUUGUGAAAGCCCCGGGCUCAACCUGGGAACGGCAUCCGGAACUGUCAGGCUAGAGUGCAGGAGAGGAAGGUAGAAUUCCCGGUGUAGCGGUGAAAUGCGUAGAGAUCGGGAGGAAUACCAGUGGCGAAGGCGGCCUUCUGGACUGACACUGACGCUGAGGUGUGAAAGCGUGGGUAGCAAACAGGAUUAGAUACCCCAGUAGUC
rnacentral:rRNA from 1 species